rnacentral:lncRNA from 1 species
AUGUGGCUAUCUUUUGCAGAGGGAGCUAUUUUUCAGCCUACCACACUCUCCAAUCAAGAUGUGGCCUCAGUGUGGGAUCCUGGGGCUAGAGUCUCAGAUCUGCGAUCUGAGCUGGGAGGAGAGAUCAGGUCCCCAUACACUCAGGGGCAUCGGCAACCAGAGAGGAAGCAGCAGGCUGGAGAGCAGGAGCUCCCACAUCCAUUGCCGGGCGCUGACAGAGAGGAGGAGCCGAGGGUAGGCUCUGGCCCUCCUGGUUUCUGGCCACAGGAAAGGGAGAAAUGGCCAGUGAGCCACACUCACAAACACUGCGACUCUGCCCACGGAGUGGAAGACCGAGAAACCAGAAGCGAUGGAAACCAGGGCUUCCUAGAAGAAAUGAUGCAUUCCCCACCUCCCUCUGUUUGUGCUGCAGUGAAAACUGACACGAGAGAUUCAUUGGAACAUGUGCCCUCGUUCCACUCUCAUCAGCCCACCACGGGGACGGGAGCUGUUCAUCUUUUUGGCUCUGCUCACAGCCUCCAGAACACUUGUGAGGGGCACCUUGCGGGUGCCGUGGUCGGAGGAGGCCCCUGGAGCUCUUCCAGAGGCUGGCACUCUCCGCAGUUGUUGCUCACCUACCUGCUCAGGCCAGGACAGGCCGGAGUGGACAAUGUCUUCCCAGGAGACUGAAGCUGCUCUAUCACUCACCAAACCCCCUCAUCUGCUGGCCUGACCCUGUGCUAUGCUGGAAAUAGCACUCGAGGCGGACAUCCUCUCUGACCUGGAGAAGGGCAGUGCCCUGGAAGGAGAGGGCACAGAAGCAGCUGUUUACAUAACCUCUGAGGGCUGCGAUGGGGCAAUGGGGUGAGCAGGAGAGCGACAGGAGCCCGGGGCAGCUGGUGACCCACCCCUGGAGGCAUUUGUGAGGUGUCGGAAGAGGGGGCCCCUUGAGCAGGGCCUGCAGGGAUGGCUAAGAGUCCAUCAGGCAGAUGAAAUGAUUUGCUUUCCUCACACUUACCAAGCUUAGAAAUGACCUCCUUCGUGCAUGUGAAUGACUUUAUUCAUGUGUAUGACUCACCUUCUUCAUGCAUGUGAUGAUCUUAUUGUUUUCGACUCACUUUCAUGCAUGUGAUGACCUUAUCCAUGUAUGUGACUCACCUUCAUGCAUGUGAUGACCUUAUUCAUGUAGCUGAUUCGCCUUCUUCAUCCAUGUGAUUACCUUAUCCACGUAUGUGACUCACCUUCUUCAUGCAUGUGACAACUUUAUGAAUGUGACUCACUGUUCGUCUUCCCAUCCCCCUAAAAUAUAAACUCAAUGAGAGCAAGACCUCUGUCUACUUCUUUUUAAUCAGCAUGUCCCCAGUGCCUAGCUCAGUACACAGUAAGUACUCAAAACUACGUGUUGAAUGGUUGGGAAUGAAGGCCAAGGGAGAGUCAGGGUGGGAAGGACCUUGAC